AGUGAACGCUGGCGGUAGGCCUAACACAUGCAAGUCGAACGGCAGCACAGUAAGAGCUUGCUCUUACGGGUGGCGAGUGGCGGACGGGUGAGGAAUACAUCGGAAUCUACUUUUUCGUGGGGGAUAACGUAGGGAAACUUACGCUAAUACCGCAUACGACCUACGGGUGAAAGCAGGGGAUCUUCGGACCUUGCGCGAUUGAAUUAGCCGAUGUCGGAUUAGCUAGUUGGCGGGGUAAAGGCCCACCAAGGCGACGAUCCGUAGCUGGUCUGAGAGGAUGGUCAGCCACACUGGAACUGAGACACGGUCCAGACUCCUACGGGAGGCAGCAGUGGGGAAUAUUGGACAAUGGGCGCAAGCCUGAUCCAGCCAUACCGCGUGGGUGAAGAAGGCCUUCGGGUUGUAAAGCCCUUUUGUUGGGAAAGAAAAGCAGCAGGUUAAUACCCCGCUGUUCUGACGGUACCCAAAGAAUAAGCACCGGCUAACUUCGU
rnacentral:rRNA from 1 species